UAUUUUCUAAUCGGACAUGUUGAUCCAACACGAUUUGUGUUUAAUAACUAUAUAUAUAUGAUUGAUCUCUCAAACUUAUACUAAGUAUUUAGGUGACGUUGUACACUAAAGUGGUUGGUGGAAGAUAAUGGUUGAUUACAAAACUAAUUACACCAUCUAUUGUAGUGUGUAACAUCACCUAGUGCUUAGCAUAAUUUAAGUAUGUAUCUAUAUAUGUGUGCGCGCGUGAGGGAGAGAAUGAACACAAAAACGUAUUCAAAGUUUAAUAUUGCUCAGAUCCAUUGUUUCAACUUAACAAAGAAAAAUGCAUACAAGCAUGCACCUUAUAUAUUAAUAAUUAAUUGAUCCUCCGGAGAAGGUGGCAGCGUUUCUCUUUCCGGGGAUCACUUUUCCUGUCUCUGCCGCCUAUUUCCGUCAUCUCCAACAUUUCCGUCAUUGAAAAUCAGCGGCAAAUUAUUGGCUUCGUAGCCAUAUUCAUCUUCAUGAGUUGAAAUACGGAUACAAGAACAGCGUUCCAAGGAAGCAAAAAAUGCAGAGGUGAAGCCAUUGAUGAGCCACAUAGCCACCCCAUCGAGUUUUGUUGUGCACCCUUGGGAGCCAUGGUCCGACGAGGACCGGACCCUCGGCCCCAUGGAACUCCCUCUCGAAUUGAAGUUGCAGAAUGUUGUGGAGGUGGUUGCUGCCAUGAAUUGAAGAUGGAGAUCUAAGUGAGUGUUAAUUAGUGUGGUGAGAGAGGAGGAUCCGUGGGAUGGGUGAUUUAUGGUGUUUGAUAGCUUUAAGAAAAGUAGGACUAUUUGUGUUAAUAAUGAUUAAUUAUAGCAGUCAAAAGAUAUUACACAUGCAUGUAGUAUAUACUGAUCUCCAGAAUUACCAAG
rnacentral:lncRNA from 1 species